rnacentral:sRNA from 1 species
UUUUAGCCCUGAUUGUAGUGGAAAUCCUUUUAUGAAUUGCCACGGUUUAAACCCGUGGCAAUUCAUAAAAGAUUGAAACGGAAAGCAGGAAAAUGG